rnacentral:rRNA from 1 species
AAGUCGUAACAAGGUUUCCGUAGGUGAACCUGCGGAAGGAUCAUUAUUGAGUAAACCUGGCGGGCUGUCGCUGUCUUUUCAUAUCGUGUGCACGCUUGCCAUCUUUAUCGAUCCACCUGUGCACCAUUUGCAGUAUCUGAGGGUUGAAUGAAUGGUAUCCAACUGAGGUUGCAAAGCGUCCCCUCGGGUCUAUGUCUUUUCAUAUACCACAUAGUAUGUCUCAGAAUGUAUUUCAUGGGCCUUUGUGCCUAUAAAAAUCAUAUACAACUUUCAGCAACGGAUCUCUUGGCUCUCGCAUCGAUGAAUAACGCAGUGAAAUGCGAUAAAUAAUGUGAAUUGUAGAACUCAGUGAAUCAUCGAGUCUUUGAACUGGCCUUGCGCUCCUUGGUAUUCCGAGGAGCAUGCCUGUCUGAGUGUCAUUAUAUUCUCAACCCUCUCAGUUUCUGUGACUGAGUAGCGGAUUGGAUUGUGGGAGACUAUGCUGGCAUUAAUGUCGAGGUCAGCUCUCCUGAAAUGCAUUAGCGGAACUGCUGCGGUCCCGUCACAGGUGUGAUAAUUAUGUGGGCCUACGACGAAAGGGGCUGCUCUCCAUCUGUUCAGCUAAUAAUCACUCUCACUUGGCGGACACCUAUUUGAAAGUUUGACCUCAAAUCAGGUAGGAAUACCCGCUGAACUUAA